rnacentral:piRNA from 1 species
AUUGGAUGGCAUAAGUGCUUCUU